rnacentral:rRNA from 1 species
UCGGGAAUAUUGGACAAUGGGCGAAAGCCUGAUCCAGCAAUGCCGCGUGAGUGAUGAAGGCCUUAGGGUUGUAAAGCUCUUUUACCAGGGAUGAUAAUGACAGUACCUGGAGAAUAAGCUCCGGCUAACUCCGUGCCAGCAGCCGCGGUAAUACGGAGGGAGCUAGCGUUGUUCGGAAUUACUGGGCGUAAAGCGUACGUAGGCGGUGACUCAAGUCAGAGGUGAAAGCCUGGAGCUCAACUCCAGAACUGCCUUUGAAACUAGGUCGCUAGAAUCACGGAGAGGUGAGUGGAAUUCCGAGUGUAGAGGUGAAAUUCGUAGAUAUUCGGAAGAACACCAGUGGCGAAGGCGGCUCACUGGACGUGUAUUGACGCUGAGGUACGAAAGCGUGGGGAGCAAACAGGAUUAGAUACCCUUGUAGUCCCUGAGCGGGCUGGCAAGGCGCAU